GGCUUUGAGCCGAAACGUUUGUAUCUUUUCCCAUUAGUAAUGAAUGUAAAAUAAAAGAAAAAAGAAGAUUGUUCUCCUGCAGUGUCCUUC